AUCUCCAGUAUUGAGCAGCAAUCUAAUUCACCCUACGGGGUUCAUCCGUGGAUGUAGGUGUUAGUGCCAAACCACGUUAAACAUUGUCUUCCUUCACAGUUUUGAGUAAACAAAAAUUUGGUUCUCCAAAACCCUGAGCUAGCGGCAUCGGAUAUCAAAGGUAAUCCUUACUCUAUCAAAUUGUGCUAAUAUCUUUGCGGUUUUUGCAGGAUAUUCAUCUGAAGUAGCCAAAGCUUCUCCAGUUUUUUAUCGUCUUUUAAAAAAAAAAAA